rnacentral:ncRNA from 2 species
AGCAAUUACGGCGAUGGAGUCCGCCGGGGCGGCCAGAAUCCGCCCGAACCGCGCUACGCUGAUGGCUCCUGCUCACAC